GCUGUGGAACUCCUACGGGAGGCAGCAGCGGGGAAUAUUGGACAAUGGGCGCAAGCCUGAUCCAGCCAUGCCGCGUGAGUGAUGAAGGCCCUAGGGUUGUAAAGCUCUUUUGUGCGGGAAGAUAAUGACGGUACCGCAAGAAUAAGCCCCGGCUAACUUCGUGCCAGCAGCCGCGGUAAUACGAAGGGGGCUAGCGUUGCUCGGAAUCACUGGGCGUAAAGGGUGCGUAGGCGGGUGUUUAAGUCAGGGGUGAAAUCCUGGAGAUCAACUCCAGAACUGCCUUUGAUACUGAGGAUCUUGAGUUCGGGAGAGGUGAGUGGAACUGCGAGUGUAGAGGUGAAAUUCGUAGAUAUUCGCAAGAACACCAGUGGCGAAGGCGGCUCACUGGACCGAUACUGACGCUGAGGCACGAACGCGUGGGGAGCAAACAGUAUUAGAUACCCUAGUAGUACUACCACGU
rnacentral:rRNA from 1 species